AACGAACGCUGGCGGCAGGCUUAACACAUGCAAGUCGAACGCCCCGCAAGGGGAGUGGCAGACGGGUGAGUAACGCGUGGGAAUCUACCUAGUUCUACGGAACAACAGAGGGAAACUUCUGCUAAUACCGUAUACGCCCUACGGGGGAAAGAUUUAUCGGAAUUAGAUGAGCCCGCGUAAGAUUAGCUAGUUGGUGGGGUAAUGGCCUACCAAGGCGACGAUCUUUAGCUGGUCUGAGAGGAUGAUCAGCCACACUGGGACUGAGACACGGCCCAGACUCCUACGGGAGGCAGCAGUGGGGAAUAUUGGACAAUGGGCGCAAGCCUGAUCCAGCCAUGCCGCGUGAGUGAUGAAGGCCUUAGGGUUGUAAAGCUCUUUCAGCAGGGACGAAGCGAAAGUGACGGUACCUGCAGAAGAAGGACCGGCCAACUACGUGCCAGCAGCC
rnacentral:rRNA from 1 species